UGGGUCAAGUGUUGAACUCGAAUUGAAAAUCUUAGAUGGGUCCUAUGUCCAUAUAUUUAAACAUCUUUGUUGAUAUAUGUAUGAAUGAUAUCACAAUAAAAAUAACAUGAAUAGUUUAUUAUAAUAUUUUAUAAUUAUUAUAAAAUAUAUAUUGAAUUAUUAUGGACUAUGGUACAUCCAUGUGAUGGAUGUUUGCAUGAAUGCUUUCAUAUUGGCUGAUUAUAUAAAUGCAUCUGUGAGAGUUGCAAUAGGG
rnacentral:lncRNA from 1 species